rnacentral:rRNA from 1 species
UGAAUACGAGAUGCUACGGCGUCGAAGCAGUCUAUGUCAUACUUCCAAGAAAAGCUUGCACUGUCAUAAACAAAUAAUGCCUGUACCAUAACCGACACAGGUGGGUAGGUAGAGUAUACUAAGGGGCGCGAGAUAACUCUCUCUAAGGAACUCGGCAAAAUGACUCCGUAACUUCGGGAGAAGGAGUGCCUUAUUUAUAAGGUUGCGAUAACAAGAUCCAAGCAACUGUUUACCAAAAACACAGGUCUCCGCUAAGUCGUAAGGCGAUGUAUGGGGGCUGACGCCUGCCCAGUGCCAGAAGGUUAAAGAAGUUGGUUAGCAUCCGCGAAGCUGAUAACUGAAGCCCUGGUGAACGGCGGCCGUAACUAUAACGGUCCUAAGGUAGCGAAAUUCCUUGUCGGGUAAGUUCCGACCCGCACGAAAGGCGUAAUGAUUUGGAUACUGUCUCGGAGAGGGGCUCGGUGAAAUAGACUUGUCUGUGAAGAUGCGGACUACCUGCACCAGGACAGAAAGACCCUAUGAAGCUUUACUGUAACCUGAAAUUGAAACUGGACUUUACUUGCGCAGUAUAGGUGGGAGGCGUUGAGAAUAUUCUUGCGGGAUUAUUGGAGCCAUCAGUGAGAUACCACUCUUGUAAUGUUAGAUUUCUAACUUUGUAUCAUUAUCUGGUCAAAGAACAGUUUCAGGCGGGCAGUUUGACUGGGGCGGUCGCCUCCUAAACGGUAACGGAGGCGCACAAAGGUUUCCUCUGAACGGGUAGAAAUCGUAUCUAGAGUGUAAAGGCAUAAGGAAGCUUGACUGUGAGACCUACAAGUCGAGCAGGGACGAAAGUCGGUCUUAGUGAUCUGACGGUGCUGAGUGGAAAGGCCGUCACUCAACGGAUAAAAGUUACUCUAAGGAUAACAGGCUGAUCUCCCCCAAGAGUUCACAUCGACGGGGAGGUUUGGCACCUCGAUGUCGGCUCAUCGCAUCCUGGGGCGGUAGUACGUCCCAAGGGUUGGGCUGUUCGCCCAUGAAAGCGGUACGCGAGCUGGGUUCAGAACGUCGUGAGACAGUUCGGUCCAUAUCCGGUGUAGGCGUUAGAAUAUUGAGAGGAGCCUUCUUUAGUACGAGAGGACCGAGAAGGACAUACCUCUGGUGUACCAGUUAUCGUGCCAACGGUAAACGCUGGGUAGCUAUGUGUGGAGUGGAUAACCGCUGAAAGCAUCUAAGUGGGAAGCCCACCUCAAGAUAAG